AUUGAACGCUGGCGGCAGGCUUAACACAUGCAAGUCGAGCGGUAGCACAGGGGAGCUUGCUCCCUGGGUGACGAGCGGCGGACGGGUGAGUAAUGUCUGGGAAACUGCCUGAUGGAGGGGGAUAACUACUAGAAACGGUAGCUAAUACCGCAUAACGUCGCAAGACCAAAGAGGGGGACCUUCGGGCCUCUUGCCAUCAGAUGUGCCCAGAUGGGAUUAGCUAGUAGGUGGGGUAAUGGCUCACCUAGGCGACGAUCCCUAGCUGGUCUGAGAGGAUGACCAGGCAACACGGAAACUGAGCAACGUCCAGACUCCUACGGGAGGCAGCAGUGGGGAAUAUUGCACAAUGGGCGCAAGCCUGAUGCAGCCAUGCCGCGUGUGUGAAGAAGGCCUUCGGGUUGUAAAGCACUUUCAGCGAGGAGGAAGGUGGUGAGCUUAAUACGUUCAUCAAUUGACGUUACUCGCAGAAGAAGCACCGGCUAACUCCGUG
rnacentral:rRNA from 1 species